rnacentral:lncRNA from 1 species
UCUGUAGGCUAUUAGACAAGAAGGCCAGAAAACUGGGUCAAAAGCCACAGCCACGUCCUUCCCAAAGAAAUCCCAGUGUGCCUCAUCACACCGGAAGAAGCCCUCCAACCUUCAGUGCCCCUCCCCACUCCCCCGAAAGAUACAACACAGCACUGAAUCAGAAAGAACACCAGGGAACAUUCUAGAACACUACAAGGAAAGGAUUGUAACCCGAGAAUUAUAUAUACAGCCAAGAUAUCCUUUGUAACAGUGACAGGUAUUUGCAGACAUGCAACGACUUGGAGGUUUGAGCACGUACAGAGGAAUCUGGGGACAUAACUGGGGCACAAAUUGACAUCCACGUAUGAACGUGAUGGAGUGACAGAAACCAGACCUUGCCCUCCAUCUGAUGGACAAAAUAUGUGUGAGACGUUUCUGAUAGUUGUCAGGCUACAGCUGUCUGAGAAGGUGAGUCACAUGGCUAAUCCAGCUGACAGCCAAGGGACCGUGUAUCCACUGAGCAACUGGAAAGUGUGUCUGCCUGAGCCCAGCAGACUCCCCAAGAUGGGCAACGAUGGGGAUCUGAGGGGUUGGUUGAGCUUGAAGGACAGAAGACAGGACAGGAGAGGAGUGCCACACAGAGACAGCAACAAAGUUCUGGAGAUCAUCCUUGAGGUAGCAGCUGAAUGCUGAUCAUGGCAUGUCUCCAGGGAAACCAGAACAGCUGGAGAAAGAUGUGCCUUGGGGCAGAGGA